rnacentral:lncRNA from 1 species
CAUCUUAUGAGUGUCAAAACCAAUAGCAGUGACUAUAAUAGUUGAAGGGAGGCCAAAUUUCAAAUAACUCCAGAAGGUUAAUGUGUAUGAUAGGUUCGGAGCUCGACGAGCUUGUUCGCAAACUCUCAAGUUUGCAGCUGAUCCCAAUAGUGACAGGUUCCCUGCUUGGGAAAUUGCGGUUGUUGAGGCUGCAACUCUUGCGCCAAGCAAUAGUACUAGAAAAAUGUAAACACAAGAUUGGUCAAUGAUACAUCAGAUAAACAAAAACUCCUCCUGAAAUGGAUAUAACUAAAUGUUUUAACUAUAUAUAAUUAAUUUUCUAUCAAACAUAAUUCUUGAGCACCAUGAUCCUUGCUGAAAUCAGCUUGUUAACUAAGGAAAACACACAUAGUAACUUAUGUUGUCAAAACUAAUGUUGAACCGGAGGUCGAACCGGUGAGACUUUCAAAUCAUGUUUAUGGUUGAAUUAAAUAAUAAAUAAAUAGUAAAAAAAAAUAACUAGAGCUUUAUAGGGUCAAUUUUUGGCUCCAGGAAACUAUCACAUAAACAACAUGGGAAAAGAAGACUUUACAAAUCAUGUUCCUACCAUAACAAGUUGAUGCAUUCAUAUAUGGGAAAAGAAUACUGAAUUUAUGCAGAUUUACAUAAUGUCAUUGCGUUAAUGUUACUUUUGUGCAUAACAUCAACAUAGGGGCAAUAAAUCAACAUAUUUAUUCCACCUAUACAGAUUUAGUUUUUCCUUGAUGAUCUUAGCGUGUACUAUUUUCGACCAAUUAAAGGAUGCAAAUCACAAACGACAGAAACUACUGUAUAUAUUUACAAUGCCUUUGCCACUUGAAUUUGAAAAUAGAAGAAAUUUAAACCCUUCAAUAAUUUCUAUAAUCAAGUAUAGGGAGCUAAGGUGCUUGUCUAGCUCUUAUAUUUGAAGCAGCAUCCUAGAAAUAAAGGUGUGCCUUAUGUUUGGGUCGGCCCUGCGUGCAAGUAAAGUCAUCCUCUCAAGUUUGGUAAAAGAGUUACCAAGUAUGAGAUUAUUUCGAAUCUUUCUAACAUGGUCGUUUAUUGAAGGGUGCAGACAGCUUUACGGAGCUGGGUCUCCAAAAUUUUGAGGCCCAAAAUAUUAUAUAUAUUCCUCUUUUGUGCAUUGUUGCAAACAAGUAGACAUAGUCUAGUGGCAGGACUUGAGGCAAGUAGCCUUGUGGUCAUGGUUUCAACUCCUAGCAUUUAAGGAAUUCUCCAACAAACAACACACAUGAGGAUUUCAUAACUUUUAGGAGUUGAGUUUACGACCUCAAGAUUUCUUAUGGUAAUUUCGUACUACUAAGUCAUGUCUAUGUAUUUUUUACAACGAUCUUAGCAUUAUUAGUAUAUAUUCCUUUUUCCACGUUUAUGAUAUGCAGAAAAAUAAAAUAAAAAAUUGGGUCCCAAAUUUUUGGUGGCCCAGAUCAGUGCACCUAUUUGCAACCCUUGCAAUCUCUUCAACUUUCUCCAUGAAAAUUGCAAUGUGAUCUUGAUCUUCCUUAUCUGAAUUAUUAUUAGAAUUUACAUCUUUAUACUUUUCUUUUUUGGUAACAGCCAUUUGCACAAGACACAUCAAAAUUAUUUUCUCCUCUCCAAGUACACUUGAGCUUAUGAAUUAAUAUUAUCAUUGCAAAUUCAAGUUGUUUUGUAAUCUCCGAAUAUGAUUUAUAUCGGGGACCUCAUAAAUCAUUGGGGAUUUGUUGUGUUUAUGAGGCGAAUAAAUUCUUAAGCAAAGUGACUAUGUAACACCUUAGGUAUUUUACGUAAUUGAUUAUUAUUUUGCAGGUCUUCUGAAUUGAUGUUAGAGAUGCUAUAUUGAUGGUUCAUUCUGCAUACGACAAUCGUACUGAUCGAUAAGUUUACUUGAUCUCUAUUUUAUAUUUGCUCUCGUUAAUAGUUAUUUAAUGCUUGUAAUUUUUUAUUGUUUCUGAAUACAAGAUUCUAUGACUAAUUAUACUACAUUGAGAUUAUAGUAGCUCAAAAUGAUAUUUCUAAUUUCAAUGACAAAAAAAGUCUUCUACAAGUUAGCAAUCUUAUUCUUUUUAACAUUUGAUUGGGAAAUUUUAAAUGCUAGGUUUACUGUAAGAGAUUUGAUGUUAGAACAUGUUUUUUAUGAGAAUCUAACUCAAAAUUUUGGGAUUUGUUAAAUGCUAGAUUUAAUCAUUAAUUUUUUUAAGAGAUUUAAUCAUUAAAUUGAUCUGCUCUUACGUAUCUAUAUGAUAAUUUAGUGAUUAUGGGUAAUGAUCGUUUUUGCAAUGACAAUGUUACAAUAUGAAACUAUUAUUUGAAGUUAUUAUUCAUAUUAUAAUUUUAUAUUUUAUAUUGUAUAAAAAAAAAAAAAACUUUGGUUUGAUACUCCAUAAUUUGAUCAUAUGAGACUUUAUGUUACUGACUCACUAUUUGAAUCUAGGUGGAAUAUCUCUUAGGUGUUGUAGUUAAUGCCUUAAUUCUUAUAGCUAUGUAUUGAAAAAUUAUAAAUGCAAAGAAAAUUAUUAUUUUAAUGUAUUGGAUCAAAACUGUUAGAACCAUGCUCUACAUAUUCUUAUAGAUUCUAUUUAAAUUGAAAUUUGAAAUCAAUACUGGCCAACUCAGAAUCAUCACAAUCACUUGCUUAUUUGACACAGACUCAAAACACCGAAAACUCGGUACUCAUUUACAUAUAUGUAUAUUUUCACAUAUACCCUUUAACUUGUAUAUCAAGAAAUCGAUUUUACUUGUACGUAAAUUUCUACAACAGAAACCUUUUGGAGUUCAACAACAAAUUUUUAUCAUCUUAUGAGUGUCAAACCAAUAGCAGUGACUAUAAUAGUUGAAGGGAGGCCAAAUUUCAAAUGACUCCAGAAGGUUAAUGUGUAUGAUAGGUUCGGAGCUCGACGAGCUUGUUCACAAACUAUCAAGUUUGCAGCUGAUCCCAAUAGUGACAGGUUCCCUGCUAUAGUGCUGACCCAAGCCAAUAUGAGCCAUGCCCUUUUCUCGUCUUCUUGGGAAAUUGCAGCUGCUGAAGCUGCUACUCUUGCUCCAAGCAAUAGUACUAUAAAAAUGUAAACACGAGAUUGGUCAAUGAUACAUCAGAUCGAAAAAACGCUCUAAAGAUGGAUGUAACUUAAUGUUUUAACUCUAAACUUUUCAAGAAAAGAGGAAAUAUUUGGAGCAAUGAUUGUAAUUUAUUUUCUAUCAAACAUAAUUCUUCAAAAACCAUGAUCCUUACUGAAAUCAGCUUGUUAACUA